ACCCUCUCAGGAUUGCACCUGUAGAGUUUCCAAUACUUUAACAAUCUUGGCUUUGGGAGGGAGAGACAAGCAGAGGCAUACUUAUUCCAUUCCUAGCUUGGACACUGGCUAGCGAGUGGAAGGCAAUCUGCUAAAAUU